rnacentral:tRNA from 1 species
UGCCGGGUCGUCUAAAGGUAGGACAUUGGUUUCUGGCACCAAGAAUCGGGGUUCGAAUCCCUGCCCGGCAACCA